rnacentral:rRNA from 1 species
AGAGUUUGAUUCUGGCUCAGAACGAACGCUGGCGGCGCGUUUUAAACAUGCAAGUCGUACGAGAAGCUCGGUGCUUGCACAUGAGUGGAAAGUGGCGAACGGGUGAGUAACACGUGAGUAAUCUUCCCUUAAGUUUGGGACAACUGUUCGAAAGGGCAGCUAAUACCGGAUAUGAGGAAACUUAAAAGGUGGGGACCUUCGGGCCUGCCGCUUGAGGAUGAGCUCGCGUCCCAUUAGCUUGUUGGUGGGGUAAAAGCCUACCAAGGCGACGAUGGGUAGCCGGCCUGAGAGGGUGAACGGCCACAUUGGGACUGAGAUACGGCCCAGACUCCUACGGGAGGCAGCAGUUAAGAAUCUUGGACAAUGGACGCAAGUCUGAUCCAGCGACGCCGCGUGAACGAUGAAGGCCUUCGGGUCGUAAAGUUCAGUAAGUUGGGACGAAGAAACAUUGGGGAAUACCUUGUGUUUUUUGACGGUACCUUCUGAAAGCCUCGGCUAAAUACGUGCCAGCAGCCGCGGUAAUACGUAUGAGGCAAGCGUUGUUCGGAAUUAUUGGGCAUAAAGGGCAUCUAGGCGGGAUGUUAAGUCGGGUGUGAAAGCCCAGGGCUCAACCCUGGAACUGCAUUCGAUACUGGCAUUCUUGAGUUCGGAAGAGGAAGGCGGAAUUCCUGGUGUAGCGGUGAAAUGCGUAGAUAUCAGGAAGAACACCGGUGGCGAAGGCGGCCUUCUGGUCUAGAACUGACGCUGAAGUGCGAAAGUGUGGGGAGCGAACGGGAUUAGAUACCCCGGUAGUCCACACCGUAAACGUUGUAUACUAGGUGUUAGCGCGUCAAGUGCUAGUGCCGUCGCAAAUGCAUUAAGUAUACCGCCUGGGGAGUACGCCCGCAAGGGUGAAACUCAAAGAAAUUGACGGGGGCCCGCACAAGCGGUGGAGCAUGUGGUUUAAUUCGAUGAUACGCGAAGAACCUUACCUGGGCUUGAACUUAUAUGGACCGGUGUAGAGAUACACUUUUCUCUUCGGAGACUGUAUGAGAGGUGCUGCAUGGUUGUCGUCAGCUCGUGUCGUGAGAUGUUGGGUUAAGUCCCGCAACGAGCGCAACCCCUACUGUCUGUUGCUACCAGGUAAUGCUGGGCACUCUGACGGAACUGCCGGUGACAAACCGGAGGAAGGUGGGGAUGACGUCAAAUCAUCACGGCCCUUAUGUCCAGGGCUACACACGUGCUACAAUGGCCGGUACAAAGCGCAGCGAAUCCGCGAGGUGGAGCAAAUCGCAAAAAACCGGUCUCAGUUCGGAUUGGAGUCUGCAACUCGACUCCAUGAAGUUGGAAUCGCUAGUAAUCGUGGAUCAGCAUGCCGCGGUGAAUACG